GACGACGCUGGCGGCGUGCCUAAUACAUGCAAGUCGAACGAGUGGCGGACGGGUGAGUAACACGUGGGAACCUACCCAUCAGAGGGGGAUAACACUUGGAAAUAGGUGCUCAUACCGCAUACUGAAGGAUGGACCCGCGGUGCAUUAGCGAGUGGGUGGGGUAAAGGCUAACCUAGGCGGCGAUCCCUAGCUGGUCUGAUGGGAUGACCAGCCACACUGGAACUGAGACACGGUCCAGACUCCUACGGGAGGCAGCAGUGGGGAAUAUUGCACAAUGGGCGCAAGCCUGAUGCAGCCAUGCCGCGUGUAUGAAGAAGGCCUUCGGGUUGUAAAGUACUUUCAGCGGGGAGGCGUUACCCGCAGAAGAAGCACCGGCUAACUCCGUGCCAGCAGCCGCGGUAAUAC
rnacentral:rRNA from 1 species